GGGCGGGGAUGAGCCGGGCAGGGUACGGGCCACCAACCUCCAGACGAGCUCGGACUGCAGAGGCCCAGCUAGUUUUUCCCCAAGGAGCACUGAAUGUGUUUCGUCAAACACAGAAGGCUUACAGGUUACGUCAUCGGUAGUUAAUGGUGAAAGGCUGGAUGUGAGGACUCAAGGAUGCGAGGUCGGCUUUAGGGCUGUCCUGGAGGAAGCCCACACGUAGGCCUCUGCUUUCAUUAGGAAUAACGGUUUAAUGUAAUUGAGAGCUAUGCACCAGACCCUGUUCAAAACAUUCCCAACGGAUUAGCUCAUUUAGUCCUCAUAACAACUCUAUGAGGCACCUAAGAUCAUCCCCAUUUCACAGAUGAGAAAACAGACUCAGAAACACGGAGGCAUCUCCCUGAGGUCCAGCCACAUGAAGAGGCACUUGGGUCCUGGUCUGACUCUACAACUCCAGUUCUACCCAACAGGGCUAAGACACUGGAGAGAAGUUUUGCAAGACCAGAUGGUUAGUUCUCAAUGCCCCCCAAAUAUUGUUGCAUCUCAAGAUCUUCGGGUGGACGGCAGGAGCCGAGUGCUUGCUUUAAAAUCCCGACUUACCACUGCGUGGUUUCGUACGACUGUGACAGAGCACACAAAUCUUCAUUUUGAACAAGCUUCUCGAUGGUUCUAAAGAAGCAAGUCAGCCGAUUGCAUUUGGAUCUUCAUGAAAGCUCAAUAUGCCUAGAUCACCUCUGCGGAGGGUAACCCAGGCAAAGAACGUUUGGGAUGAGAGACUACUGGUGUACCUAUUUUUAAAACACCAAUUGGCCUCUAUGGGAGGCCCUACAGAAGUAUGCCCCUUCUCCCGGGCGGUGCCAACUCUUCGUGGUUUCUGGCUUGACCCCCGAAAGCUGCAUAGCCCCCGGAUGGCUCCCUUAGAACGAGGCAUUGCGAUCCCACCCCAAGUCGCAGGGGGCGCCAUUGAGUCUCGUUCUCACGGGAUAGGGGCUCCGCUUCCUCUCUACGCUGGCGCGGCAAGGAAGUCCUCACUUCCGGUCUUGCGCGCGCAGCGUGUGAGCCUAACUGGUGCCCGACGACCAGCAUGA
rnacentral:lncRNA from 1 species